GAGUUUGAUCAUGGCUCAGAUUGAACGCUGGCGGCAGGCCUAACACAUGCAAGUCGAGCGGUAGAGAGAAGCUUGCUUCUCUUGAGAGCGGCGGACGGGUGAGUAAUGCCUAGGAAUCUGCCUGGUAGUGGGGGAUAACGCUCGGAAACGGACGCUAAUACCGCAUACGUCCUACGGAGAAAGCAGGGGACCUUCGGCCUUGCGCUAUCAGAUGAGCCUAGGUCGGAUUAGUCUAGUUGGUG
rnacentral:rRNA from 1 species